GGGGUAGUAAAGGUUUCGACAGGGGUCUUGCAGCUGGAGAAGCUAUCCGUUGCGACACGUUAAACGCAAAAUUAAAAAUAAACGCUGAAGAUAAUUAUCAGUACGCACUUGCGGCUUAAUUGCUGCAGGUGACGCCGCCACAGGCGGCUUGUCCGCUCCGGGGCACUCACACGCCGGAAUCCGGGCAUCGACUAUGUGAGAAACGACGCGCGCUAAGCUUUGCCCGCGCGGGCGUAUGAUGAAGCUACCUCCCGGGACAGAUUGUUCGUUGUCUGUCCCGGGAGGGAACAGGCGGGAGAAAGUCCUGCCGGAAUAACGGACUAUGAUAGUAGAAGGACAGGGAAUGGGCUUUUGGACAGGGGUUCGACUCCCCUCUACUCCAC
rnacentral:tmRNA from 1 species